AUACGUAGGGUGCGAGCGUUGUCCGGAAUUACUGGGCGUAAAGAGCUCGUAGGUGGUUUGUCGCGUCGUCUGUGAAAUUCCGGGGCUUAACUCCGGGCGUGCAGGCGAUACGGGCAUAACUUGAGUACUGUAGGGGAGACUGGAAUUCCUGGUGUAGCGGGGAAAUGCGCAGAUAUCAGGAGGAACACCGGUGGCGAAGGCGGGUCUCUGGGCAGUAACUGACGCUGAGGAGCGAAAGCAUGGGUAGCGAACAGGAUUAGAUACCCUGGUUGUCCAUGCCGUAAACGGUGGGCGCUAGGUGUAGGGGUCUUCCACGACUUCUGUGCCGUAGCUAACGCAUUAAGCGCCCCGCCUGGGGAGUACGGCCGCAAGGCUAAAACUCAAAUGAAUUGACGGGG
rnacentral:rRNA from 1 species